rnacentral:rRNA from 1 species
CGCAAUGAAUGCUAGGUGUUGGGAGGGUUUCCGCCCUUCAGUGCCGCAGCUAACGCAUUAAGCAUUCCGCCUGGGGAGUACGACCGCAAGGUUGAAACUCAAAGGAAUUGACGGGGGCCCGCACAAGCGGUGGAGCAUGUGGUUUAAUUCGAAGCAACGCGAAGAACCUUACCAGGUCUUGACAUCUUUUGAUCACCUGAGAGAUCAGGUUUCCCCUUCGGGGGCAAAAUGACAGGUGGUGCAUGGUUGUCGUCAGCUCGUGUCGUGAGAUGUUGGGUUAAGUCCCGCAACGAGCGCAACCCUUAUGACUAGUUGCCAGCAUUUAGUUGGGCACUCUAGUAAGACUGCCGGUGACAAACCGGAGGAAGGUGGGGAUGACGUCAAAUCAUCAUGCCCCUUAUGACCUGGGCUACACACGUGCUACAAUGGAUGGUACAACGAGUUGCGAGACCGCGAGGUCAAGCUAAUCUCUUAAAGCCAUUCUCAGUUCGGACUGUAGGCUGCAACUCGCCUACACGAAGUCGGAAUCGCUAGUAAUCGCGGAUCAGCACGCCGCGGUGAAUACGUUCCCGGGCCUUGUACACACCGCCCGUCACACCAUGAGAGUUUGUAACACCCGAAGCCGGUGGCGUAACCCUUUUAGGGAGCGAGCCGUCUAAGGUGGGACAAAUGAUUAGGGUGAAGUCGUAACAGAGGAAAACCGUAAAA